UAAAAAUCAAACUUCCAGGGACGCCUGGGUGGCUUGGUUGUGGCUGGCUCGGUCAGUGGAGCGGCGACUCUUGGUAUCGGGGUUGUGAGUUCGAGCCCUAUGUUGGGCGUAGAGAUCACUUAAAAAAAAAAUCCACUGAGUAAGUUCAAUUCAUGCUCGGGCAGGUAGAGUUGCGCUCUCAGGAGUUGUGCAAAAUGGAAGAUUUUUACAGGAAGGCAGGACAAGGAAAUUACUAGGAAGAGAAAGAAAGGCUCCUUCCAGGCAAGGUCACCUUCCCUGAGGGGAAGGGCAGAGGUCUCACUAGUGGGUCUCCCCACCUCCCUUUUGGGGGAAACAGAGUCCGUCACUGAUGCUCACCCAGAAAUUCCUCACUGGGGGUUUCUGGGCGAGGCUGGAAGCUGGUCAGGUUACAUGCGGAGCCCUGGUUUGCCGACGUGGCGGAGGGUCCCCUUUGCGGCCUGUGGCUUUCCUUCGGAUGCAUGUUCCGUCUGCCCCCCGUCAGCCAAGGCAGGUGGAAGCUGGCCUGGCCAUGCCGGGGGCGGGGCGGGGGCCUCCGGAGGGAGGCUUUGUGUGGGAGCGUCCUGGCUUUGAGACUUUGGCACAUCUUAUUGGUCUUCACGUUCGCCCAGCAAAUCCCCGCCCAGACUUUAGGGCUGGGGCUCCCCGGCUUUGUGUCCCAUGUUCCUGAUGGAGAAGCCCUGGAGGAGGGAGGACAGCCCUCCAGGCCGGGUGGGAGCGUGGGCUCCGGCCUCGGGGCUCCCGGCGUCGCCUGGCGCGGACUUACCUCCGAGACACCUCACUAGUGAGUCAGAAGCCACACCAGGCGCAGACAAGGCCCACUCAGAGGCGGGUCCCAAGGGCACCGGCACCGUGACCUGCCCGGGAGGGGUGUUCACCUGGGUGGACUUCUGCUCACGGCUCCUGGGAUCCCCUCUCUCCUGGUCUUCAGGCCUUGUUUUCCCUUUUUCCCUAGAGCUCCACGCUAAUCCUGUGCCUUUUAUGAGCCCCGCGAAGGUGACCCAUCCUCCAGGUGCAUUGACAUUUGGGGAAGAAGCCCAGGUUCUGGAGAACCCGCCCCCGCUGGCGUCCUGGGACCAGGACAUUGUGAAAGCCACCAGCAGAGCACCGUUAAGUGCCGCCAGCAGGAGGUCGCAGGCCGCUCCGGACCCGGGUGACCACGCCGACAGGUAUGUCAGCGAGCCCCCACGGAGCCCCUGCAUACGGGCCUCCGGGGACCCUCCUGGGCCGGGGUGUGCUCCGGAGUGCCGUCUGGGGAGGCAGUCCUGGGCCCACGGGCCACGUGAGCCGCGAGUGCCGCCAGCCCCCCUGUCCUGCGCCUUUCCCCCUUCAUCUUCAGAGACUCCUGGGGACCUUCCAUCACAAUCACGAGCUUCUGGAACAGCAGUGGCCCGGACCCCUGUCGCCCACGGAAAUGUGCGGUCGGGCCAGGGAGCAGUGUGCCCUGUGGCCUUCUCCAGGUGGGUGCCCACCCGGCACGGGUGACCGUGGCCAGAGCGCCGCUGGGGUCAGGUGGCCCUGGGGCCCACGGCUGAGGCCCGUCCCCAGGAUGCUGCUUGGGCGGCCCAAGAGCAGGCCAUGACUCGGGGCCUCCGUAAAGGACCAAGGACACUGCAUCGUUGACGUCUGCAGGAGCACCACGGCCCGGCUGGGUGCUCUGGUGUGU
ensembl:lncRNA